GAUGAACGCUAGCUACAGGCUUAACACAUGCAAGUCGAGGGGCAGCAUGAUUGAAGCUUGCUUCCAUCGAUGGCGACCGGCGCACGGGUGAGUAACACGUAUCCAACCUGCCGAUAACUCGGGGAUAGCCUUUCGAAAGAAAGAUUAAUACCCGAUAGUAUAGUAUUUCCGCAUGGUUUCACUAUUAAAGAACUUCGGUUAUCGAUGGGGAUGCGUUCCAUUAGAUAGUUGGCGGGGUAACGGCCCACCAAGUCAACGAUGGAUAGGGGUUCUGAGAGGAAGGUCCCCCACAUUGGAACCGAGACACGGUCCAAACUCCUACGGGAGGCAGCAGUGAGGAAUAUUGGUCAAUGGACGAGAGUCUGAACCAGCCAAGUAGCGUGAAGGAUGACUGCCCUAUGGGUUGUAAACUUCUUUUAUACGGGAAUAAAGUGGAGUAUGCAUACUCCUUUGUAUGUACCGUAUGAAUAAGGAUCGGCUAACUCCGUG
rnacentral:rRNA from 1 species